AGUAAAAAGCCUAUUCACAAAUCAGGGGUGAACCAGGUUGGGCUAGUUCAUAUUACCUGCUGGCGAAUCCGAGCACUAGAAUGGAGUGUGGGUUGGGCCG